rnacentral:rRNA from 1 species
UCAGACGAUGCGUCAUGCAUAUCAAUAAGCGGAGGAAAAGAAACUAACUAGGAUUCCCUCAGUAACGGCGAGUGAAGCGGGAAGAGCUCAAAUUUGAACUCUUCAAGGUUCUACCUUGACGAAUUGUAGUUUAAAGAAGUGUUUUCUGUUGGAGUUUUGGUAAAAGUUCUUUGGAAUAGGACAUCAUAGAGGGUGAGAAUCCCGUAUUUGACCGUUAUUUCUAGCUUUGUGAUACACUUUCAAAGAGUCGGAUUGUUUGGGAAUGCAGUCCAAAAUGGGUGGUAAAUUUCAUCUAAAGCUAAAUAUUGGCGAGAGACCGAUAGCGAACAAGUACCGUGAGGGAAAGAUGAAAAGAACUUUGAAAAGAGAGUUAAACAGUACGUGAAAUUGUCAAAAGGGAAGCGUUUGACACCAGAGUUGUUUUCUCGAAAAUCAAUUAAAAAAGGCAGGAUUUUGUGUUGUAUUGACUUUAUCAGCUUUCUGCACUCUUUUCUUGUCUUUUUUUAAUGCACUUUUCGUUUAACAAGUCAACAUCAAUUUCUUUUGUUGUAAAAGGGUCAUUGGAAGGUGGCUUUCUUUUCGGAGAAAGUGUUUAUAGCCUCUGGCCUCUGCAAUCGGAGAGAUUGAGGUCUGCAGCGUAGAUCCUUCGGGGUUAGAUACAUUUGUGCUAAGUUAUAGCCUUUCAUAGACAACUUGUUGACUAUGAUCAGUCAUGUAGCUUACUCGCUUAUGCUAUUUUACCUACGCUUAGGAUGUUGAUCUACAGAGCGAGAGU